UACGUAGGUGGCAAGCGUUGUCCGGAAUUACUGGGCGUAAAGGGCGUGUAGGCGGCCAAUUAAGUCAGACGUGAAAAUCAGGGGCUUAACCUCGGGAGUGCGUUUGAAACUGACUGGCUAGAGGAUCGGAGAGGGCAGUGGAAUUCCCAGUGUAGCGGUGAAAUGCGUAGAUAUUGGGAAGAACACCAGUGGCGAAGGCGGCUGCCUGGACGACACCUGACGCUGAGGCGCGAAAGCUAGGGGAGCAAACGGG
rnacentral:rRNA from 1 species